AAACACAUCUUAUAGUUUUGAAGUAACUAGCUAAUUAUCAAAACAUCUUAUGUUUUUGAAGUAACUAGCUAAUUAUCAAACACAUCUUAUAGUUUUGAAGUAACUAGCUAAUUAUCAAACACAUCUUAUGGUUUUGAAGUAACUAGCUAAUCAUCAAAAACAUCUUAUAGUUUUGAAGUAACUAGCUAAUUAUCAAACAUCUUAUAGUUUUGAAGUAACUAGCUAAUUAUCAAAACAUCUUAUGGUUUUGAAGUAACUAGCUAAUUAUCAAAACAUCUUAUGGUUUUGAAGUAACUAGCUAAUUAUCAAAACAUCUUAUGGUUUUGAAGUAACUAGCUAAUCAUCAAAAACAUCUUAUAGUUUUGAAGUAACUAGCUAAUUAUCAAAACAUCUUAUGGUUUUGAAGUAACUAGCUAAUUAUCAAAACAUCUUAUAGUUUUGAAGUAACUAGCUAUUUAUCAAAACAUCUUAUAGUUUUGAAGUAACUAG
ensembl:lncRNA